rnacentral:rRNA from 1 species
AUGCCCGGAGGGAGAACAACUCAUUCACAGUUCAAGAUACCGCUAGGCAUCGAUGAUGGUGGGUUUUGUAGCUUCACUAAACAGAGCGGGACUGCCAAGCUCCUACAGUCAGCUUCUCUCAUUAUUUGGGAUGAGGCUUCCAUGGCAAAGAAACAGGUAGUCGAGGCGUUGGACAAUAGUACGCGUGAUGUGAUGAGCCGACCAGACCCGCCGUUCGGUGGGAAGACAGUUGUGUUCGGUGGAGAUUUCAGACAGGUCCUUCCUGUUGUCCGUAAGGGGUCUAGGGCUCAGAUAAUUAAUUCAUCGCUACGUAGGUCUUACCUUUGGGAUUCCAUGUGCCACCUUAAGUUGGUACGCAAUAUGAGGGCACAUAGUGACCCAUGGUUUGCAGAGUAUCUAUUGCGCAUUGGUGAUGGUAAGGAGGAGACCAAUUGA